rnacentral:snRNA from 1 species
AUACUUACCUGGCAGGGGAGAUACCAUGAUCACGGAGGUGGUUUUCCCGGGGCGAGGCUUAUCCAUUGCACUCCGGAUGUGCUGACCCCUGCGAUUUCCCCAAAUGUGGGAAACUCGACUGCAUAAUUUGUGGUAGUGGGGGACUGUGUUCGCGCUUUCCCCUG